CCGGCGGUCGUCAGGGCCGGCGUCGUGGUGCCGCUCCCGUCGGUUCCGUUGCUGCCACCGUUCGAGCUGGUGCCGCCGGA
rnacentral:tRNA from 1 species